rnacentral:rRNA from 1 species
CACGGGGGGAGCAAGCGUUGUUCGGAAUUACUGGGCGUAAAGGGCGCGUAGGCGGUUUGCUAAGUUGGACGUGAAAACUCUGGGCUUAACCCAGAGCCUGCAUCCAAAACUGGCAAGCUAGAGUUUUGGAGGGGGAAGCGGAAUUCCUGGUGUAGCAGUGAAAUGCGUAGAUAUCAGGAGGAACACCGGUGGCGAAGGCGGCUUCCUGGACAAAAACUGACGCUGAGGCGCGAAAGCUAGGGGAGCAAACAGG